GACGUGACUUCAGAGUUUGAUCCUGGCUCAGGACGAACGCUGGCGGCGUGCUUAACACAUGCAAGUCGAACGGUGAUCUUGGGAGCUUGCUCCUGGGUGAGCAGUGGCGAACGGGUGAGUAACACGUGAGUAACCUGCCCCUGACUCUGGAAUAAGCGCUGGAAACGGCGUCUAAUACCGGAUACGAGACGCAACCGCAUGGUUAGUGUCUGGAAAGUUUUUCGGUCUGGGAUGGACUCGCGGCCUAUCAGCUUGUUGGUGAGGUAAUGGCUCACCAAGGCAAUGACGGGUAGCCGGCCUGAGAGGGCGAUCGGCCACACUGGGACUGAGACACGGCCCAG
rnacentral:rRNA from 1 species